GAUAAACGCUGGCGGCGUGCCUAAAACAUGCAAGUCGAACGGACCAUUUCGGUGGUCAGUGGCGGACGGCUGAGUAACACGUGGGUGACCUGCCCUCGAGCGGGGGAUAACUGCCCGAAAGGGUGGCUAAUACCGCAGAUGUCGUUCCUUCGUUGGGAUGACUGAACCGCAUCAGGGUUCGGGGAGGGGCCCGCGGCCGAUUAGCUAGCUGGUGGGGUAACGGCCUACCAGGGCGACGAUCGGUAGCUGGUCUGAGAGGAUGAUCAGCCAGACUGGGACUGCGAACGGCCCAGACUCCUACGGGAGGCAGCAGUUAGGAAUUUUGGGCAAUGGGCGAAAGCCUGACCCAGCAACGCCGCGUGGGUGAUGAAGGCCCUCGGGUCGUAAAGCCCUUUUCCCAGGGAAGAUGGUGACGGUACCUGGGGAAUCAGCCCCGGCUAACUACGUGCCAGCAGCCGCCGUAAGAC
rnacentral:rRNA from 1 species